CUUGUCUCUUUCACCACUGCUUCUCUUGGUAAUUAUUUUCAGCCGCAAUUGCUAAGUUGUAAGUUAAAUGUUUUACCUUGCUAUUUAUCUUCAUCCAAGUUCUCUUCUUUAGAUUUAAAUGCUAUCUAAGUGAGGCGCAUAAAAGUCGAGCACAAUUAUCUGCUGGAGAGAAGGUCGGCAACUCGGCAAUGCACUUACAGAAUAUAAUUGAAGUUUUUUAUUCUAUGUUGCAAGCUGUCAGAAGAUUAUUAGUAAUUAGUAGGCCAUUUGUAGUGCACAUUUAUAAAAUUGUCUGCUGACUUAUUAUGUAUGAUAAUUUUAUUGGUAAAUAUUAUAUAAAUAUUUGCAUUGAGCUA